GGGGGCGUUUUUGGAUUCGACGGGGAUAGUUCGAGCAUGGGUAGCGGGUAGUGGGGACGCGUCCGCUUCAUCAACGCUAAAGCCUAUUAAACGGCAAAACACAAAACAACUACGCUUUAGCAGCUUAAUAACCUGUUAGCGUGCCUCUACUCUCCAUCGCCCAUGUGGCGGGAUAGGGGCUCAACUUUAGUGGGAUACGCUGUCACAUCUCCGCCUGGGGUGUGCUGAAGAAGACAAUCAGGCUGACCUGAAGGGAAUCCGGUAACAGGGAGUUCCUAGGGUGACAUCAAAACUGUUACUACACCCGUAGAAGCUCAUGUGCCGUUAUCUUCGGACAGGGGUUCGACUCCCCUCGCCUCCACCA
rnacentral:tmRNA from 1 species